CAUUACUGUAUUUCCUCGCCUCUUUUAUCUCCUCCGGGCAAGGGCUGCCUUUAGCGCCUGUUAUUCCGUAAAGUUAGUGUUCAGACAGCCAGUGUGCGUGUGUGUGUGUGCGUGUGUGUGUGUGCGUGGGGUGCUAGGGAGUAAGUGAGGAAAAGUUCGUGGGCUCUUCCGUGUUUGUGGAGAACACUCGGGCGAUCUGGCGCUCAGUUGGGGUCCGGAUCUCCAUCUCCACGCCGCAGCGGACUUGGGGAGCGUGGCAGGUCCUAGGCACGCCCGUGUGCCAGCCGGUUGACAGGCACCGCCUGUCCCUCGAGUUCCUCGCAGACGGAUGGCGGGGUGAGAUCGUUCCAAGGAGCCCCACGGCCGGCCACCAGCUGAAUAGAAUUGUGUAUAGGCACCACAUUUUCAUCGUCUCUCAUCAGCUGGUGAAUGUUUGGGCCGUUCCCAUGUCCUAGAGGCUAAAUGAGCAUGGGUGAACAUGUGGUCCGUAUGGCAGAAAACAGAGUCCUUGGAGUACAUGCGCAGGAGUGACAUAUCUGGCUCGUUGCGGGGACGUUUUGUUAUGAUUUGGAAAUGUUUGCCUGAAGAGCAGUGAAGCAAAGCAGCCAGCCAUAGGCUCUGCCUUCCACUCAGACCAAAGGAGCCAUCCUGUCCUCAGAUUUCAUCUCCAGACUUCGCUGCUCCUCCAACUGCACUGCUUUCCACCAUAGGUCUAUUUCUAACUUUCCUGAGGACCCUCUACAAUGAUUUCCACAGUGGCUGCACCAGUUGACAUUUCACCAACAGUGCGUGAAGGAUCAUCUCUCCCCACAUUCUCUCCAGCAUCUGCUGACUUUUGUUUUCGUAAUCUUAAGCCAUUCUGACAGGGCUAAGAUGAAAUCUCAAAGUAUCUUCAUUUGUAUUUCUGGGGCUAAGGAGGGUGCCCACGUUAAAAAAUAUUUCUUAGCCAUUUGCAUUUCAUCUUUUGAGAGCUCUGUUCAGUUCCAUAUCCCAUUUGAAAAAAAAACUAUAUUUGUUUACUGGGUUUUAGAUUUUUUUUUAGUUCCUUAUAUAUUUCAGACAUGCAUUUUCUGUCAGAUGCUUUUUUUCCCUGUAAAAGACUGCCUAACUUUUCUUUGUAGUACAAAAGCUCUUUCAAUUUCA